AUCAUACUACGCGCGUGAGGCAAAAGUACACGUGCGUAUCGACCAAGCUAUAUAGCCUCAGCAGUGCUGAUAUUGGGCAGAACAUAUAAAUUUACUUGACCUGUGAUCAACUGAUUUGAUUCAGCCGAGAUUACUCUUUGCUAGUCUAGAAACAAUGGGAGAUUGGUGGGAAAAUGUCGGACAAGCUUUUGUCAACCAUUACUAUGCAGAAUUUGACAAAUCGGUAGAAUCUAGAGUAAAUUUAGUCAACCUUUAUCAAGAUGUCUCGAUGCUCACCUUCAGUGGACAACCAUUUCAAGGCCCCAGAGAUAUUGGCGGAAAAUUAGCGGACCUCAAAUUUCAAAGAAUUGAACAUGUUCCAUAUUCGAUCGUCUGCCAGCCUGCACCAAACAAUGCUGUUAUUGUACUCGUGGCGGGGCAAUUAAGAACAGAUGAUGAUCCUCCUCAUUAUUUUUCUCAAGUCUUUCAUUUGAUGCCAACAGGUGAAUCUUAUUUUGUUUACAAUGACAUCUUCACUCUUAUCAUUUGCUAGAUUAUGAGGUUACUUUACUAAGCUAAGCGUGUGGAUCGUCCUGCAUGCGGAGACCAUGAUAUCUUUAAUAAAA